rnacentral:rRNA from 2 species
UACGUAGGGUGCGAGCGUUAAUCGGAAUUACUGGGCGUAAAGCGUGCGCAGGCGGUUCUAUAAGACAGAUGUGAAAUCCCCGGGCUCAACCUGGGAACUGCGUUUGUGACUGUAGGACUCGAGUGUGGCAGAGGGGGGUGGAAUUCCACGUGUAGCAGUGAAAUGCGUAGAUAUGUGGAGGAACAUCGAUGGCGAAGGCAGCCCCCUGGGUCAACACUGACGCUCAUGCACGAAAGCGUGGGGAGCAAACAGG